GCCUUCCUCGUCAUUCUGCUUUUUCUUCUAUUUCCUUCGGUGAGUUAGAGAGAAAGUUGAGAGUGAGAAACAGAGGCGAAUUAGAUAAAGAAUUGAGAGAAAUAAUCGAGUUUUAGGAGAGAAACCCAGAGACGGGGGUGUACGUGUGCGUGCGAACGGGAUAGUGGGAAGCAUGGCUUCUUCCCGUGUGAGUUAAACCUUCUUCUACUAUUUUCCGGUAGUUCAGACAUUCCUCUCAUCCAUCACAUCGUUCAUUUUAACCUAGCUUCACGAGUCUCGUUUUAGGUUCGACAGAAGUCCUCUUUGCAACCAAAACAGAGCCAAGGAGGGAACUGCUUCUUUCCUUUGUUUUCUAGCUGUUCCUUUUCAGUUUCAUUCCAGUUCUAGAUUAGGAAUAGUUACUUUUGGUCCUAGGAUAACCCUUAAUUGAAUCCUUACGGUGUAAUCAUCCCAAAACUCGGAGAUUCAACCCAGAAACUGUCAUACACCGCUGCUACUGCACUAGUGCGCUGUAGAGGAGGAAUCGUCUUCCUUCAGAUUUAAGCCUCCCAAAUCGUGCAGCAAGCUUCAAACAGAAGCGUUCCCCUGUUGCUGUCAACUGAACGCCUACUGCAGGUAGGUGAGCUUUUCCUGUCUUUUCUGCCCUUCUUCUUCAGUUUCCUUUCAAUAAGUAAGUGGUUAGGGAUAUAUUUAUGUGUUAGGAACCUGACCCAAUGAUUGCAUGUAGUAGAUUCUCUUGAAAACAUUGCAGAAUCAUUUAUAACUCACUCAACUUUGUAGACGCUGUCAUGGCAUGUUGUAGAAAAUUUCUUAAUGUUUGGGAACAAAUGGCUCGUGCGUUUAGCUUCAAGCUUGGUUUCCAUCAAGAUGAGGAAGAUAAUGAGGAACUGAUCGCUGACCUACUCCUUAAAGUUUUUGAGGAUCUCGUGGAUCCAUAAACUUUUAUAAGUGCAUGACUUGUUUCGCACUCUAAUGAGUCCAUUUACAUAAUGAUAGAAGUGAUCAUCUUUUGUAUUUUGUUAUUUUGUAUUUUGUCG